UGGGGAAUAUUGCACAAUGGAGGGAACUCUGAUGCAGCGACGCCGCGUGAACGAAGAAGGCUUUCGAGUCGUAAAGUUCUUUUAUAUGGGAAGAUAAUGACGGUACCAUAAGAAAAAGCCCCGGCUAACUACGUGCCAGCAGCCGCGGUAAUACGUAUGGAGCGAGCGUUGUCCGGAAUUAUUGGGCGUAAAGGGUGCGCAGGCGGCUUUACAAGUUGGAUGUGAAAUAUUGUGGCUCAACCACAAACGUGCAUCCAAAACUGCAAAGCUUGAGUUAAGGAGAGGUAAGUGGAAUUCCUGGUGUAGCGGUGGAAUGCGUAGAUAUCAGGAGGAAUACCGGUGGCGAAGGCGACUUACUGGACUUAAACUGACGCUCAGGCACGAAAGCGUGGGGAGCAAACAGG
rnacentral:rRNA from 1 species